UGAUUUCGGAUAUAUUGGUUUGGUUUUUGGUCAAUUAUGUUCACGUCUAAGCAUAAUAUAUGUCCAUGUUUAGAUUCUUAGGCCUAAUAUUUAGUCUGUUAAAUUUAGACUAGACUUUAGACAACUAAAACUUUAAUCACUAAAUUUAGAUUAUAGGACCAUUUGGGUCAGGAAAGUUUAGUUCUAAUUCAAUAUAAAGGCUUACCCCUUGCCGCUUUUGUUGCUAUUCGCACUCCACAUGGCUAUGAGCCAUGUUCUCACUUCUCUGUGUUCGUGUUCAAUUUUUUGUCCUUCUAUUGUUUGCCUAAAAACAAUCACUAAUGGAUAAAUAAAUAUUUAAAAUUUGGUACAAAAGAUAGUUCAACAAAAUGAAGUUUAUCCACAUGUGGAUCAAAAAUACUGCAAAGAAAAUAUAGUUCAAAUAAUAUAUAAAAUUUUGGAGACAUGAUUCUAUACUGGCUUGUGAUUUACAUUACUCUCGCUUAGCAAACAACACGUUAAGGAUGUUGUCAUGGGAGGUGUUUAGGUUAUAUGAUCCUCGAUGCCUCCAUGACAAUUGCCAUCGCUUCGCUCAAAAGAAGACUCCUCAUGCUUUUUUAUGCAUUUUUAAGAGAAUAGGAGGGGCCUUAGGCAGGCCCUGCAAACAAUGGCGUUGCCACGCCCCAUGUGUCUAGCGUAUAAACUAUAUAUAUAUAUAUAUAGUUUAUGUAUUAGGAGCCCUGGGCUCUCUCUAACUAGAGAAAGCCCUGACCCUCACCCGACCAGCCCACAAGAUGUUUUAGAUGCACCGUCUGAUCCAUUCAAUAUGACGUCAACAGACUUUUAUGCUUUGUUGCACACAAGUUUACACUUAUUUUGUCAUACUAUCUGAAAUCGCCUCCUGUACUAUCAUAUAAAACCGACCGCGAUGACUGCUUUGCACGAGAGGACUAGGGUUUCAGCGGCGACGGUUGCACGAGAUGUGAGCGAGUGCGGGGAAGCAGGCACGACGACGCCGGAUGGGCGUGCUAUGAAUCUCUGACCACUGGCUUGGUUGCGGACGCCACCCCACAAGGACGCGGGCAUGGUGGUAUGGGACCUUCCCAUCGGCCAUCUCCUUAGGCUUCACCUCCACUGUCGCCGCUGCCACUACCGAGCCCCAUUCCCCGUGGACGCGUCGGAGCUGGAGAAGCACGUGCUGGCGGUGGACGACAGCUUCAUGGACCGUGUCGUGAUCGCCAGGAGAAUCUCAUAAAAAUGCCUCGUGGCGCAACAAGGCGUACUCCAAGCUCUUCUUGCAUGCUACUUAAUUUUGAUUUAGGAGAUAACAUUCAGGUAUGUGUUUUCUUUUCCCUCACUAAUAAGUACAGAGUUAGAGAAACCAUUUAAGUUUGUCCAUCGCUCGAAAGUCCCUACAAAUGGUGCAUUUCUAUUCACUUGAUUUCAUGGCUGAAUAGUAUUUCUUUAUAAUGAAGUACUAGAUAAAAAUUUAGAAAGGUGAUAUGUUGAAUACUCCCUCUAUUUUUUGUUAGAUAAAAAUUACCAGUUUUGACUCAAUCAAUGCCACCAAAGCUGUCAGCGGUAACCAAUUGUUUAAGUUGUGCUUUGUUAAGCAAACCCUGGUGGAGCAUACGAAUGUAAUGACUAAUGAGAGUUUCUUUCUCUGAAUAAUUGAGUUUUGUAAUAAUAUUUAUUUUUACUUUGAAUACAGGUUGUGUUGCAUUUGCAAACCAAAAGCUUCUUAGGAUUCAUUUAGUAACUGCCACCAAUAUUGAGCUUUCAUUUCUUGUUUGUGUAUUUAAAAAGGCUAAAAUUGCCACCAAUAAUGAGCUUUCAUUUCUUGUUUGUGUAUUUAAAAAGGCUAAAAUGUCAUUCUCAGAAGGAAUAAUUCAUAAAUGUUUUUCCAAGUGUGUGUUUUUCUUGUAUAUAUGUUUCCUUGUGACAGGUUGUUGGAGAGGAGCUUGAAGUUUUAACUUGAAUGGAGUCAAUCUGUUUAUCUUAGCUCUUCAGGAACUCCUAAACAUUUCUCAACUGGAAGGAUUAAUUCAUAUAUAGAAUUUGUUUAUGGUCGUGUAUGAUCUACUUUAUGUUUUGGCAUACUAUGAACAAAAAACAAGUGCCUUCU
rnacentral:lncRNA from 7 species